rnacentral:rRNA from 1 species
CGCCGCGUGAGUGAUGAAGGUUUUCGGAUCGUAAAGCUCUGUUGUUAGGGAAGAACAAGUGCGAGAGUAACUGCUCGCACCUUGACGGUACCUAACCAGAAAGCCACGGCUAACUACGUGCCAGCAGCCGCGGUAAUACGUAGGUGGCAAGCGUUGUCCGGAAUUAUUGGGCGUAAAGGGCUCGCAGGCGGUUUCUUAAGUCUGAUGUGAAAGCCCCCGGCUCAACCGGGGAGGGUCAUUGGAAACUGGGAAACUUGAGUGCAGAAGAGGAGAGUGGAAUUCCACGUGUAGCGGUGAAAUGCGUAGAGAUGUGGAGGAACACCAGUGGCGAAGGCGACUCUCUGGKCUGUAACUGACGCUGAGGAGCGA